rnacentral:rRNA from 1 species
UACGGGGGGGGCAAGCGUUGUUCGGAAUUACUGGGCGUAAAGGGCUCGUAGGCGGCCAACUAAGUCAGACGUGAAAUCCCUCGGCUUAACUGGGGAACUGCGUCUGAUACUGGAUGGCUUGAGUUUGGGAGAGGGAUGCGGAAUUCCAGGUGUAGCGGUGAAAUGCGUAGAUAUCUGGAGGAACACCGGUGGCGAAGGCGGCAUCCUGGACCAACACUGACACUGAGGAGCGAAAGCCAGGGGAGCAAACGGG